ACUUUAAUACGCUGUUCCAUAUUCUGACAAUGUGAUCUAUGUCAUUCCUUCAUGUCAUGUUUAAUGAGCUUUAGGUUUUCUUUUCACAUAAAAUUCAUAUGCAAAGAUUUGUCAAACCCCUUUAUAAAAGCAUCUUGUCACAUAUUUGUCCAUAAUGGAAAAUAUCAAAAUAUAUUUUUGUAUUUUGUAUGACUUAUGCAAUCAUAAAUCUCUUCUAGCAACAACAACAUUAUCUUCUUUCCACUCUUAUUUUUCAACAUUAUUAGAUGCUAGUCACAAACCAAACAUAAACUUCCAAAAACAGUUAUAAUUUAUGCAUAGUACUAUUACUAAUAUAUUCACAUGCAUAACUGUAUAAUAUAUUUCACAUGUCAUGCUAAGAAGUUCCUACGUGUCUUGCAUAUAAGAAUUGUCAGAUAUCAUACUCUAGAGUAUGUGGUUCCUCUAUCUAUCCCGUGAUCAAACAGUGAUUCAAAUUCAAUUAUUCUUAUGCAUCCACAUCAACUAGGAACAAACUUCCAAAAUAUACUUGGUAAACUUUUUGGAUUUUUCCUGAAAAAUAAAACUACUUUUAAAUACUUAUCUAUCUAGUAGGUAUGCUUGUGUUUUUCUAUUAUUACAUUUUCAAUUUUUGAGAUACAUUAUAAAAUAUGGAUACUCAUUGGAUUAGGACUAUACCGGUACAUGUCGUUGUCUGUGUUUGUGUCCGUGCUUUAUAGGUGAUACAUAGUUGAAUAGUAAAAUCUUUUUUUUUUUACAAAAGUUGAAUAGUAUAAUCAUAUAAGAUUAUGAAAUUGUAAUAUAUUGUUGAAUAGUAAAAUAAUAUAACAUUUUGUAAUACAUUGUUUAAGAAAACAAACCUGAAACCACAUUUUUUAAUUAGUUAAAGAUUAUAGGUAUUAGCAUGAUUGCACAAAAUAGUCUUUCUUAUUUAGGUAUUUACACAAACCCUAAUUUAAUUUGAUUGUCUUUAUCAUAGACAGCUAAAGGAAACUAGUCUACAAAAUCUUAUUAUUUAGAUUGUUUUCAUAGACAGCUAGAAGAAACAAAGAGCAGUAAAAAGAUAGAGGACUAGAUUCUAUUUUUGUUUUCAACAAGUUUCUUGCACGAUAGUUAACCCUAUUUGAGGCAUUGUGUUACACUAAAUGUGAAAUUUCGUUUGUGUGCACUCAAAACAUAUCAUGUAAUUACACACUCGGUACAUUCCUGGUUCUUCGAUUAAAAUCGGACAAGUCAAAUUUCAACCUCAAUAUUAUAGAUUUUAAAAUGUAUUCAAAACCUGCAACGUCCGAUCUUAAUUCAACAACUAUCGAUGUGUCAACUGUGUUAAUGCACGAGAUUUUGACUGCAUGCAAUCCAAAUCCCUAAAUGUGGAUAACUCUCUCCCUCGGAAUUCAAAUUUUAGUUCGCCACAUUAUGGGUUACUACCUAUUCGCUAGACCCAAUAUCGGUUAGUGGAAUAGUUCAUAUUCAAACAAUGGGUAUUACUAAGUAAAGUAGAACAAGUAACCAUUUUACGGUCGUUUCUGAAGAGAUUUGAACUCAAGUUAGUUGAAGUUAAAAGAUCAAACUCUUAUUACUGAUGUGACAUAUGAUUGAGAAAUAGUGUCUUAAAUAUAUUUAUAUAGACCUUCAUUAUUUAUUUAAAAGCACAAUACAAAUUUGCAUUCCCUUCACAAGAAGACAUUAUUUCUGAAAACUCAAACCUCAUCACAAUGUCUUGGUUCCUUACAAUUCUGUUUCUCAGUCUCACAUUUGGUACUAAUUUUUCAGAAGCAAACCAUGACAACAAGAAGCUUCUUCCUUCACCUGUUGUAGUUGGCACUGUCUACUGUGACACAUGUUUUCAACAAGCUUUCUCUCUAAACAGCCACUUCAUUUCAGGUAAUCCAUUUCAACCUCAAAAGGGUACUUCAAUUUUAUAUCUCUUAAAAUGUUGUAAAAUUUUUCUAAACCUUAUCAUAUUUUAUUUUGUCCUUGUUUUUAUGUAUAGGUGCAUCAAUAGCUGUUGAAUGCAAAAUAGGAAAAACAAAACCAAGAUUCUAUAAAGAAGUGAAAACAAAUGAACAUGGAGAAUUCAAAGUGAAACUACCUUUCUUAGUGAAGAAACAUGUGAAGAGAAUCAAAGGGUGUAAUUUUAAGUUGUUAAGUAGUAAUGAACCAAAUUGUGCUAUAGCCUCAACUUCUACUUCAUCUUCACUAAGCCUAAAGAAAAAGUUGCAACAAGAACACAUUUUUUCAGCUGGGAUUUUCUCAUUCAAGCCUAUAAAAAAACCAAAAUUUUGUGACAAAAAACAUAGUAUUCAUAACCUUAAGAAACAACAUAGUUAUGUGAAAAAUUUGGAACAAUCAAAAUUUUCAAGCAAAAAUAAAGUACCUAAUGAAGUUGAAGAUUUCUUCUUUUUUCCUCCAAACCCUUUUUUUCCACCACCUAUUAUCCCUAAUCCACUUCAACCUCCACCUUUGAUUCCUAACCCUUUGCAACCACCACCUUUGAUUCCAAAUCCAUUUCAACCACCAAGUCCACCCUUGAUUCCUAAUCCAUUUCAACCACCAAGUCCACCACUUAUUCCAAAUCCAUUUCAACCUCCUCCAUCAAAUCCACCACUUAUUCCUAAUCCAUUUCAACCUCCCCCAGCAAGUCCUCCACCACUCAUUCCAAAUCCAUUUCAGCCUCCACCAUCAAGUCCACCACCAUCAUUUCCUUUUCCACCAAUAGUAAUACCAGGUUUAACUCCAUCACCACCGCCGC
rnacentral:lncRNA from 1 species